UAGGACUUACUAUGUUAUGUUUAAAUUGGUGCUUACAUUAUAAAUUUUAGAGUGGGCAUCUCUACUGAAGAUCCAGAGGUGGUCAUUUUGAAUCCAAAAGAUAUUGCAAAACACUACAUCAAAACCUGGUUUCUGGCUGACCUAGCUGCAGCUUUUCCUCUGGAUUCUAUAUUGUUUUUUAAGGAACCUGUUGUGAAUCCAUCUGCUCUCCAAGUGCAGCAGUGUUUCAGAGAAGAUGCCUGCUUAGCCAUUUGUGGCCUGUAGACUUAGAGUGAAGAGUGUUGAAAUAAAGUAUGCACGUUGUUUGAGCACGUGAUGUCUUGUAUGUAUAAUUUAUAUAUUUUGGAGUGGAUUUCAUGAGAUUGCAAGAAUCCACUUAUCACUCAUAGAUUGCAAGUUUUUUCAGAUCCUGUCAGAAGUUGUUCAGUUCUCAUGACAUAUUAUACUUUGUUAAGUGUUUUGUUUUUCAGAUUACAGAUUAUCAGAUGAUCCGUUCUUCCUCUUUCUCUAAAUUUUUAAGAAUUUUUUAUUUUGGUCGAAUAAUAAAUUUGGUACAACUUCUGAAUGCUUCCAAUUUGAUGAGACGUUUCAAAGAAUGGGAACUGAUCCAACAAUAUGGUAGAUUUUCAACAGACCAAACCAAAAUGAAGACAAGAGAACAUUCAAGGCAAGCCAAGGAAAUGAUAACAGAGAAACACAAAUCUGGGGAAGGGUACAAGACCACCUCAGAGCUCAGUGCAGUCCAUUGUGAAAAAGUGGGGAAAAAGAUGAAACCACAGCCACACGACCUAGGUCAGGACUACCCUCUAAACUUAGUUGCCAGAGAAGACUGGCGCUUGUAAGAGAGGCUGCUGUGUUGUAUACACUCACUCUGAGUGUGCUGCAAAAGUCAGUGGCUGCAACUGGAGAUGAAGUUCAUGGUCCCACAGUCUCGAAAGCCUUGCACAGAAGGGGUAUUUAUGGAAGCGUGGUAAGGAAGAAGUCCUGGCUAAAAGAAAAUGUAUCCUUUCCCCAUACUUAGAAGAUACUGUAAAAUAUGAAAGAAGGUUUUGUGGUUGGAUGAGACUGAAGUGGAACACUAAGUGUACUUGUGUAAAUUUAAUACUGUGCCUCAGCCAGGUAACACCAUCCCUACUGUAAAGUAUGAUAGAGGUAGCAUCAUGCUAUAGGGUUGCUUUUCAGCAGCAGAGACUGGAAAUCUGGUCAGGAUUGAUGGGAAGAUGAAUGCUGCUAAAUACGGAGAGAUCCUGGAUAAAACCCCACUAUCUUCUGCACGAAAGCUUAAACUGGGAAUGAAGUUCAUCUUUCAGCAGAACAAUGACCCAAAACACACUGCCAGAAUAACCAUGGAGUGGCUUCAAAUAAAGAAAAUUGAUGUCUUUUAGGGGCCCAGUCAGAGUCCUGACCUUAAUCUGAUCGAACAUCUCUGGCAAAACCUUAAGAAUACUGUACUGUCCAAUGCCACUCCCCAACCAACCUGGCACAGCUUGAGCAAUCUUACAAAGAGUAACAGGCAAAUACUGCUUCAUCACAUUGUGGAAAGCUAAUAUUGACAUGUCCAAAAAGACUAUAGGCUGGAAUAGUUGCAAGAGGUAGUUCAACUAAGUACUAAGCACGUGGGCAGGGGCUGAAAACUUUUGAACUGCUUACAUUUCAGUUUUUGAAUUUUUAGUUUUUCAUGCUUCAUAAUUUUCUCUGAUUUUGGUCUCUGCUGUGCAAAAAGGAGCAUGUAAUUCACAAAUAAAAAUUCAGAAUUAAGUUGAUCAAAAUCCUUUGUUGUUUACCAGAUGAAGAUGACACCAGUGUACAAUAUGACCAAGGGUGAGAACCUCCAUAUCAGCCAUUCUCAACGGGGGCCACCGACUGAAAACCGUGAGAAGGGGGGUACCAAGUGCUUAUGGGGGCCCUGGUAACUGAACUGAUGAAAUAGCCAAGCAGCAACCUUAUAACCGCACAACGUCAGUUCAGUCAGUUUCAAAAAGAUUUUUGGAUCCAGAGUGAUCUGCCAAAUAAAUUUACAACACUGUGGGGGAAAAAGCCCAAAGAGUUUUUAAUUGCCUGUCCUUCAACAUACUUGAUUGAGAGUGGAUUCUGCAAGGUAGUUUCCUUGACAAAAUCCAGGAACAGAAUUGAUAUCACAACAAGAGGUGACCUCCAACUGUCGUUGUCUGAUUUGGAGCCCGAUAUCAUGAAACUUGCAGAAAAGAACCAGGCUCAAGGAUCGCAUUAGCUGAUGGAAUUUUAAUUUCAGUUUUUUUUUAAAAGUUUUGUACAGUAAGUCAGAAUGUUCAAAUUUUCUUAG